GUAAAGAUUGAACAAGGAACUAUGCCUAAACUUGAGCGGCUGCAUUUCCAAGGGAGUGUAGAUAAUGAGUUUUGCUUUUCUGGGCUAGAAUUUCUCCCAAGCAUCAACGAAGUCCAGCUCCGUGUUCACUUUCCCUGGGAUUUCGAAAGGGUAAACGCCGCUCCUGAUUCUGAGACCUGGAACAAGAUAAAGGAGGAAGAAAGACAGGAAGAAGCGCUCAAGAAAGGUGAACUCAAGAAGAAAAUCCAGGACCAGCUCGCUCGGAAUGCAAACGAACCCAUCGUGACGGUGGAAUGAGUCUUGGACAGGCUGGAGAUCAUCGGGCUGCCUGGCAGCAGCUGCGAGGUGGGUUCAAUUUGCUUGGUACAUGUGCGCAUACGGCAUGCCGCCCUUCCCAGCUGGUGCCGUAACUCUUGCUGCUCUUGCUACUCUCCCAGCCCCAGGGCAUGCGCUUGUUGUUUGUGCUGUAUUUCAAUUGUUUCGUGGCGAACGUGUCUGUACCUGUAGGUGGUUACAAAUCCGCCCGUCAACCUGUUUUCACCUACUUUCUGCUGUUAUUCGAAGAUAUUUUUAAAUGACAAGAAUCCAAUGUUAUUAUUUGUAUGUAUGGUUCAUUCAUUUACCUGUUUGUAAAUGAAGCGCCAGAGUUCGUUUCC